CCUACGGGAGGCAGCAGUGAGGAAUAUUGGUCAAUGGACGCAAGUCUGAACCAGCCAUGCCGCGUGCAGGAAGACGGCUCUAUGAGUUGUAAACUGCUUUUGUACGAGGGUAAACGCAGAUACGCGUAUCUGUCUGCAAGUAUCGUACGAAUAAGGAUCGGCUAACUCCGUGCCAGCAGCCGCGGUAGUACGGAGGAUUCAAGCGUUAUCCGGAUUUAUUGGGUUUAAAGGGUGCGUAGGCGGUCGGAUAAGUUAGAGGUGAAAUCCCGAGGCUCAACUUCGGAAUUGCCUCUGAUACUGUUCGGCUAGAGAGUAGGUGCGGGAGGCGGAAUGUAUGGUGUAGCGGUGAAAUGCUUAGAGAUCAUACAGAACACCGAUUGCGAAGGCAGCUUACCAAGCUACUUCUGACGUUGAGGCACGAAAGCGUGGGGAGCAAACAGGAUUAGAUACCCGGGUAGUC
rnacentral:rRNA from 1 species